UACGUAGGGCGCAAGCGUUAUCCGGAAUUAUUGGGCGUAAAGAGCUCGUAGGCGGUUUGUCGCGUCUGCCGUGAAAGUCCGGGGCUUAACUCCGGAUCUGCGGUGGGUACGGGCAGACUAGAGUGCAGUAGGGGAGACUGGAAUUCCUGGUGUAGCGGUGAAAUGCGCAGAUAUCAGGAGGAACACCAAUGGCGAAGGCAGGUCUCUGGGCUGUAACUGACGCUGAGGAGCGAAAGCAUGGGGAGCGAACAGG
rnacentral:rRNA from 1 species